GACGAACGCUGGCGGCGUGCUUAACACAUGCAAGUCGAACGGAAAGGCCCCUUUGGGGGUACUCGAGUGGCGCACGGGUGAGUAACACGUGAGUAACCUGCCCUUGACUUCGGGAUAACUUCAGGAAACUGGGGCUAAUACCGGAUAGGAAUCCUUGCUGCAUGGUGGGGGUUGGAAAGCUUCGGCGGUUUGGAUGGACUCGCGGCUUAUCAGCUUGUUGGUGGGGUAGUGGCUUACCAAGGCUUUGACGGGUAGCCGGCCUGAGAGGGCGACCGGCCACAUUGGGACUGAGAUACGGCCCAGACUCCUACGGGAGGCAGCAGUGGGGAAUAUUGCACAAUGGGCGGAAGCCUGAUGCAGCAACGCCGCGUGCGGGAUGACGGCCUUCGGGUUGUAAACCGCUUUCAGCAGGGGCGAAGCUUUUGUGACGGUACCUGCAGAAGAAGCACCGGCUAACUACGUG
rnacentral:rRNA from 1 species